AAAUUGAAGAGUUUGAUCAUGGCUCAGAUUGAACGCUGGCGGCAGGCCUAACACAUGCAAGUCGAACGGUAACAGGAAGAAGCUUGCUUCUUUGCUGACGAGUGGCGGACGGGUGAGUAAUGUCUGGGAAACUGCCUGAUGGAGGGGGAUAACUACUGGAAACGGUAGCUAAUACCGCAUAACGUCGCAAGACCAAAGAGGGGGACCUUCGGGCCUCUUGCCAUCGGAUGUGCCCAGAUGGGAUUAGCUUGUUGGUGGGGUAACGGCUCACCAAGGCGACGAUCCCUAGCUGGUCUGAGAGGAUGACCAGCCACACUGGAACUGAGACACGGUCCAGACUCCUACGGGAGGCAGCAGUGGGGAAUAUUGCACAAUGGGCGCAAGCCUGAUGCAGCCAUGCCGCGUGUAUGAAGAAGGCCUUCGGGUUGUAAAGUACUUUCAGCGGGGAGGAAGGGAGUAAAGUUAAUACCUUUGCUCAUUGACGUUACCCGCAGAAGAAGCACCGGCUAACUCCGUGCCAGCAGCCGCGGUAAUACGGAGGGUGCAAGCGUUAAUCGGAAUUACUGGGCGUAAAGCGCACGCAGGCGGUUUGUUAAGUCAGAUGUGAAAUCCCCGGGCUCAACCUGGGAACUGCAUCUGAUACUGGCAAGCUUGAGUCUCGUAGAGGGGGGUAGAAUUCCAGGUGUAGCGGUGAAAUGCGUAGAGAUCUGGAGGAAUACCGGUGGCGAAGGCGGCCCCCUGGACGAAGACUGACGCU
rnacentral:rRNA from 1 species